rnacentral:rRNA from 1 species
UACAGAGGGUGCAAACGUUGCUCGGAAUCACUGGGCGUAAAGCGCACGUAGGCGGAUCCUUAAGUCGGGGGUGAAAUCCUGGAGCUCAACUCCAGAACUGCCUUCGAUACUGAGGAUCUCGAGUCCGGGAGAGGUGAGUGGAACUGCGAGUGUAGAGGUGAAAUUCGUAGAUAUUCGCAAGAACACCAGUGGCGAAGGCGGCUCACUGGCCCGGUACUGACGCUGAGGUGCGAAAGCGUGGGGAGCAA